AAACCUUUAUAAAAGCAAAUCAAUAUCCUCUCCUCCCUUCCCUACCGGUGAAACCACCAGAGACGAGAACCAGACCAAGGCGAAUCCCCAUAGAGAGACCCAAAGAAGAGGAACUCAGAUACCCAAAACCGUAGAAUCUAUUUGUCUUCAAUGGCUACCAGUAAGAGCUACUUUGCUAGACAAAGCUACCGAUUUUUGUCCAGUGACCAGACCCCUCACGCGCCGCUCACGCCCGACUCUGCAUUCGAGCUCGAUGAGUCUGACGUUUACAACAACUCAGUCGCAACUCGCUCCAACUCGCCCGAGUUUCGGAAAGCUGUACAGAGUUCGAGACUUAACAAAAAGUCUACAGCAACAGCAGGGACCAGACUCACAGACCCUGGAAAUAGAGCCGUCGGGACUCCGUCGUCACUUCCGGUUAACAUACCG
rnacentral:misc_RNA from 1 species